GAGGGAGAGAGUUAGGAACAGUUGGGAAGAGUAGAAACUCGGACGAUUAAACGGCCCCUUUGUUACGUCGCGCGCAGCUGAUUUCUACAAAACCCAUCUAAACCCCUUACAUUUCUGUAGAUUCUUGGUUACUUGCUACGCAGCAGGUAGGGAAAUCAUAGAAGGAUGUCGAUCCCUCAAUCUAAGGUCCCAUGGACCGUGGG
rnacentral:lncRNA from 1 species